GACGAACGCUGGCGGCGUGCCUAAUACAUGCAAGUAGAACGCUGAAGAGAGGAGCUUGCUCUUCUUGGAUGAGUUGCGAACGGGUGAGUAACGCGUAGGUAACCUGCCUUGUAGCGGGGGAUAACUAUUGGAAACGAUAGCUAAUACCGCAUAACAAUAGGUGACACAUGUCAUUUAUUUGAAAGGGGCAAUUGCUCCACUACAAGAUGGACCUGCGUUGUAUUAGCUAGUAGGUGAGGUAACGGCUCACCUAGGCGACGAUACAUAGCCGACCUGAGAGGGUGAUCGGCCACACUGGGACUGGGACACGGCCCAGACUCCUACGGGAGGCAGCAGUAGGGAAUCUUCGGCAAUGGGGGCAACCCUGACCGAGCAACGCCGCGUGAGUGAAGAAGGUUUUCGGAUCGUAAAGCUCUGUUGUAAGUCAAGAACGAGUGUGAGAGUGGAAAGUUCACACUGCGACGGUAGCUUACCAGAAAGGGACGGCUAACUACGUGCCAGCAGCCGCGGUAAUACGUAGGUCCCGAGCGUUGUCCGGAUUUAUUGGGCGUAAAGCGAGCGCAGGCGGUUUGAUAAGUCUGAAGUUAAAGGCUGUGGCUCAACCAUAGUUCGCUUUGGAAACUGUCAAACUUGAGUGCAGAAGGGGAGAGUGGAAUUCCAUGUGUAGCGGUGAAAUGCGUAGAUAUAUGGAGGAACACCGGUGGCGAAAGCGGCUCUCUGGUCUGU
rnacentral:rRNA from 1 species